rnacentral:rRNA from 1 species
GAUGAACGCUGGCGGCGUGCCUAAUACAUGCAAGUCGAGCGAACGGACGAGAAGCUUGCUUCUCUGAUGUUAGCGGCGGACGGGUGAGUAACACGUGGAUAACCUACCUAUAAGACUGGGAUAACUUCGGGAAACCGGAGCUAAUACCGGAUGAUAUUUUGAACCGCAUGGUUCAAAAGUGAAAGACGGUCUUGCUGUCACUUAUAGAUGGAUCCGCGCUGCAUUAGCUAGUUGGUAAGGUAACGGCUUACCAAGGCAACGAUGCAUAGCCGACCUGAGAGGGUGAUCGGCCACACUGGAACUGAGACACGGUCCAGACUCCUACGGGAGGCAGCAGUAGGGAAUCUUCCGCAAUGGGCGAAAGCCUGACGGAGAAACGCCGCGUGAGUGAUGAAGGUCUUCGGAUCGUAAAACUCUGUUAUUAGGGAAGAACAUAUGUGUAAGUAACUGUGCACAUCUUGACGGUACCUAAUCAGAAAGCCACGGCUAACUACGUG